UUCAGCUCAAAAUUUGUGCUGAAAGAGUAAAAUUUUUGGUUCAAGCUGUAAUCAAAAUUAAUGGAAAACCCUUAAGAGUUGCAGUUGCUUCUGCCUGCAUCUUUUGCCAUGAUUUCCUCUGUGCUCAUCCCCCUGUUGUAUUUUAUGCUGGCUCCCCUUAACUACUAUUUUGAGUGGCCAGAGGAGGUUGCACUUUAGAUAAAUUUUUGGAAGAGCCUGGGGUGGGAUUUUUGGAUGUAAUAAUGACCCCUCCUCAACUUCCGCCUGUAAUUUGAGCAUUAAACACCUGUGCAUUAAAAACAAGCAGAUACAUUACAACCAGAUGUUGUAAGGCAGGUUUGUUGAACUAUGGACAGAUCCACAACCUACAAAGAAUCCUGGGAACUUUAAUUCAUUAUGUGUGCUGAGAAAUGUAGCUUUCUUUUGGAGGGGGCAGACUACAAUUCCCAUAAUUCUUUAGGUGAAGCUACAUGAUUUAAAUGUGUGUUGUAUGUACUUUAAAAUGUAUGGUGUGAGGUUACCCUGCAUAUUUUAUAUUAUUGGAAGGUACCUUGUGAGAACUGGAACAGGUGUUCUGGUUCUCUCAUGUGGAUGAAAAAUGAGAACACUCGUUUCUGCCAAAGGCUUUAAUGCAUAAGUCAGUUUGAUACAUAAGUUACGAGGCAUGGAUUAAGCAGGUGCAUCAGAGGCUAAGAAACAUGGCUGAGCAUUAGCAAAGACAUUGAUCCAACACAUGGCAUGCCCCCUGCACCUUCCUUUUGAAGCUCAGGGUGGGCACAGCUAAUUGUGUGGCAAAUGGCUGGGUUCCUGAGACUGGGCAAUUAAGCGAUGUCUCCUUCAGGUGGAUUGGCUUUGUGAAGUUUGUUUGUGCCAGUGCUGGCAUCACUGUGGGGAUGAGACAGAAUCAGAGCCAGAUCAUAUCUCCUCUUUGAUACCCCCUCCAAAGGCGAAACUGGAGGCCAGCCGCAUAGUGUGAGCUCUUGGCAUCAGCGGACGAAGGAUGGAGUGCAGAGGGUGAAGGAUCCCACCGCGGCACACCAGUUUUCAUCUCUGACUUCAUCAAAGCGACCCUGCACCACACUGGAGACAAGCAGGGUCAUGCUGCGCCGCCUGCCCGCCUGUGCAGGGAGGAGCCCACCCAGGCGACAUGGCACUUGGUGGGUGAAAACCAGGACCCCCUUGGCAGUGCCCCCAGCAUGGCCUGGCCCAGCACUGCUCUCCAUGAGUGUUGUUUCCUCUGAUGCUGAGACUGGGCUGCGUUGGUUUUUUGACAGCAAUCAAAUCAAAAACUAAAAAUGAAUGGCAAUGCUUUGAUGAUUAUAUGGCAAAAUAUUGCUCUAGAAAAGACAUGCUAAUAUGCUUAGAUUAAGAAUGUAAAUGCAUCAAAACAAUAAAUUAUCAAUGACAUAUGUAUGGAUAUAGAGAAAAUAAAAACAAUCAGAAUGCAAUGAUAAGGGUAAAAUUGAUGCUAGAGAAGACGAGUAGCGGUGGAGGGAAGCGAAACAGGGUGGUGGGUUUAUUUUAUUUUAUGUUUUUUCUUUUUCUUUUUUGGAUAUUGUAUAAUGAUUUGAUGUAUAAUGAUUUAAUGUUUCUUUUCUGUUAUGUAUUAUUUCUCUUUUUUAAAAAUUAAAUUGUAUGGUGGAAAAAUCUAAAUAAAAAGACAAAAAGACAAAAAAACCUGGGCUGCGUUGGGGGCAUCUGCCGGGGGUGCCUGCUUCAUGGCCCAAGGCCAUGGCCCCACUGACACCCCCUGUGCUACCCUGCUGCUGGAGACAACUCUGUGACAGGAGGCUUUAGGCUUGGAACAGCCAACGUCUUAG
rnacentral:lncRNA from 1 species